GUAUUUCUAUAGUGUCUGUUGUGAUAGUACCUUUUUCAUCACAUAUGCUGGUAAUUUGAGUUUUCUUUACCCUUCUCUUUGUUAGGGUAGCUAGGGGUCUGUCUGUUUUAUUUAUUUAUUGAAAGAACCAACUUUUUGUUUUGUCAUUUUUUUCAAUUGUUUUAUUUUACUUCAAUUUCAUUGAUUUCAGCUCUAAUUUUAAUUAUUUCUUGCCUUCUGGUUUUCCUCUUGAUUUGUUCUUCUUUUUCUAGGACUUUGAGAUGCAUUGUGAGGUCAUUUAGUUGUUGAAUUUUUCUUCUUUUAAUGAAUGCACUUCAUGCAAUGAACUAUCCUCUUAUUACUGCUUUUGCAGUGUCCCAGGGAUUUCAAAUAUGUUGUGUCUAUGUUCUCAGUUUCCUCUAAGAAUUUUGUAAUUUCCUCCUUGAUGUCUUCUGCAACCCAUUGUUCACUCAGUAGCAUAUUGUUUCAUCUCCUCCAGAUGUUGGAAAAAUUUUUACUUUUUAUUUUGUCAAUGAUUUCCAAUUUCAUUCCAUUAUGAUCUGAUAAAAUGCAUGGUAGUAUCUAUACUGUUUUGUAUUUGCUAAGAGUUUUUGUGGCAUAGGAUAUGGUCUAUUUUAGAGAAGGAUCUAUGUGCUGCUGAGAAGAAAGUUUAUCUGCUUGAUGCAGAUUGAAAUAUUCUCUAUAUGUCAGUUAAUUCUAAGUUAUUUAUUAUAUUAUUUAGUUGUAUAGUUUCCUUGUUCAGCUUUUGUUUGGAAGAUCUAUUCAGUGGAGAGAGAUGUAUGUUAAAGUCACCCAAGAUUGGGUUGUGGUCAGUUUGACUCUGGAACUUGAGAAGACUUUUUGAUGAACAUAGCUGCAUAGCUGCACCAUGGUUUGGGGUACGUAUAUAAAAUUGCUAUGUCUUGUUGGUGUAUGGUUCCAUUGAGCAGUAUGUAAUGUCCAUCUUUAUCCCUUUUGAUUAACUUUGGCUUGAAGUCUAAUUUAUUUGAUACAGGGAUCGAAAACCCUGCUUACUUCUGUGGUUUUAUGAGUGGUAUGAUUUUACCCAA
rnacentral:lncRNA from 1 species